ensembl:lncRNA
CAGAAAACUGAGAUGUUGUCCAUGCUGUGAUUGCACAUUGAUAAACAUUUACUCUCCUCUCUCUGCACUUGUUAGCUGUAGUCAGGUGUUGGCUCUAUGAUGUAUUUCAGAGUAAUUAUGAUAACUGAUAAAAUUUAAUUUACCAUAUUGCUAAAUACCUGUUAAUUACUUCUCUGCUCCAUCUGUAGAAGAAGUUGAAAACAGUCUUCAGCUGGGCCGUUUGGUAGUCAUACUGUGACGCUGGCAGUCUGAAUAGAGAUCUUGUACGGCAUCGUCUAUACAUACGUAAUUUCACACAAUUUCUGGGCAGUUAUCAUUCAAUUUGCACUUCUUUUGUCAUCACAGAAAUGGAAAUGUGAGAUUGGCUUUUUACUCUCGAAACAAGACGUAGAUUUUAUUGCAAGGUCUGACUUUGGUGGUAGGUGCUAUCUACGCAGUAGCUUGCUCUUGGGGGAGGAGCAGAUGCAUCAUUCUGUGCGUUGGAGGAUGGAUUACGAUCUGUACAUCUGUCGGGCUGGAGAGCUUGGCUUUAGGGCAGAAGGAGAUGUAACUGAAUUGAAAACAGAUGAGUAUCAAGAUGAGGAAUUUGGUGAAGAUGGAUGUGGGGCAUAUUUCCAAAUACUCUGCUCUCCCACUUCAUUGUUUGGAAGAGAUGAAAUGAGGUGACUGGCCUCCGGCACCUGGGGUGUCUGUGUCAGGAAGACCACGGUUCAGACAUCAAUCCUUACAGCUACUGAACAAGGCAGUCCAAGACAUCUUUAAAAAGGGACAAAGACUGUAAAAUCCUUCAUUGCAAGCUCUGGGUUUCUGAGUAAGCUGUUACCUCACAGUUUUAGGGAAAGCAAAGCAUGUUCCGGCUGUAUGCCAAAGAAAUUUUUAUGUACAGAGAAAGUUGCAGGAAUCAGCAGGCAGUCUGCAGAUGAGAUGUAAGAGGAGAAGAACCAGGUCAGUGCAGAGAUUAUGAAAUAUACAAGCAUUUCAGAAGGAGCAGACAGAAGGAAAAGAUAAUGAAAGAGAUGAUUUGUUUGGGUACGUCUCAAGCUUUGGCCUAGGAAGGCAAGAGCAAGCCUAGAACUUAACUUGAACAGGACUUGUGGAGAAGGAGAUACACUAACAAGUGUUAAAGUGUCUACAGAUAAGCAUCACUAAAGUUGCUGUAGUGGUUAAGAUUAGAGGUGACAGACGACCUCAGGUCUGAUGCUUAGUAAGUAGUAAGGUGAGAACAGAACAGGGGUCUCAAAAUUAAGCCUUUCAGGACUACACAAAAGCUGGAUUCUCUGCUUAGUAGAAAACAAAAUGCCGAGGCAUGAAAAAUGAGUGUUUCACAGAUAAAGUAGUAACAAGAGAUUUAUGUUCCAAUAUAGCAGUGGGAAUAUUGAAGGCUUUAGAGAAAUAAGUAUGCAUUUCAGUUUGUAUAUAAGUGUAUAUAUAUAUAUAUCUGAAUAUUAGAAGGUUACUUUUAAUAUGUUGCAGGUUGCCAAGUUCAUUAAAGUCCCAUUCUAUAACAUCUGCACACUUAUGGAAUCACACCACAGUAAACCUGGUAAGAAUGAGGUAAUGCCCUGAAAAGUCAUGGGGAAAUGCUAGUAAUUUUUAACCAUAGUCUAGCUUUUUAAAAGCUCAGCUGAAGAAGUCAGAACAAUUUUAUUAAUAACACAUCCGAUUUGCAGCUGAAUAAAGAAGUCAAAGCAUUGCUUUUCA